rnacentral:ribozyme from 1 species
UCGGUUUUUAAUCAAUCUCCCGGACGAAGAACUCGAAAGUUUCGAUCGCCUCUUUUUUCAGCUGCAAGAAGCUUCUUGGUUUUAUACUGAUUUCUACAGCGACAAAAUGGCACAUCUCCCCAAACUGAAAUUUGGCAAU